rnacentral:lncRNA from 1 species
CGUUGGCUUCUUGUUGCCCACUUUCCUCCCUUGUUUUCCCCCAUUCUCUCCCUACGUGCUCCCUCUUCCUCUUCUCUCCUUUUGCUUCUGUAUUCUGUUUCUUCUUCUUGAUUGAUUCUACAUCAAUCAUAUUUUGGGAUAUAGAUGUCUAUAUCAGCCAUUCUGUAUUUUAAGAAUUGAAAAUAUUAAUUUAGUGAAGUAUAUGUUGAAAGUUGUUUCAAAAUGUUGAUUUUGAUCAACUUCGACCAAUUAGUAAGCUAAACAUGUAGACGGUCAUGGGAUUUUGAAAGCCAAGUGUGUUUUACUCCUUGAGUAAAUUACUAUAGUUUGCCGAAUCAAUUUCAUGUGAAUGAGAAAUUGUGGUCGAAAUUGAGAAAUUUACCACAUGGAAAUUGUUGUGGAUUGUAUUGGUGUGAUUUUUAUCAUCUGAUGGAAUAUUCUAGAACAUAUUUGAAUGAAAAUAUGUUUCUUUUCAUAUGAAAAAUCAUGUCUUUUGGACAAAAGUCGUCCAAAAAGGACAUAUCUUCUUCCAUUAGAUGUGUCUUUUCCAAGAGUCGUCUCUUUAACAUAAUGUUUCGACAUCUAUAUAUAGGCUCCCAUUUUCAGAAUUCAUGCAAUUUGCUUCAUUCGUGCACUAUGAUAUUACUGCAUAUCUACUUCGAAUUUUGCAUUUAUUUUGACCAAUUUUAUACAAAAAGAGUUCUAAACAUUACUAGAUUCGUUGGUCUACUUAAUUUGAAGUCUCCAAUUGAAGGAAGUGGUCCUUUUCUUGAUAGACAAGUGUCGAAAAAUUGAAAAAAGAUUGGAAAUCUUGCUUCGACUAAAAUCUCGUUUUCUGCAAUUCUUGUUUCUACAUUUCAUGGUUUUAGUAAAUCAAAAUUUCAGUCAUUUUUUUAGCAUAUAAAAGGUUGUCGGAAUAUAAUAUAUGCAUCCAUUUUUCAAAUAUUUAUGCUGUUCUCUAUAUUUUCAUUCAUUGGUGCAUUAUGUUGAGAGUGUAUUUCUGCUUUGGUACGUCUUUUAUUACGUUAGCAGCGCAAGUAUGUGGUUCAUGUUAAAAAAGUUACACAAACAAAUCAUCAUUAGAGUUGCAUUGUAAGUCAAGCAUAAUUAAUAAUUGCAUUCCACUCUUGCCAAUUGCAUAGUUGUAUAAAGUCUCCGCAUGUUAUGCUUUGAUGGAAUAACUGCUUGCACAUGUUAAGUUGUAUGCAAUAAAUCAUUUUGCAUUGCGUGCUAUUACUUAACAUAAAUUAGGAAAAAGAUGGAUGGACAGGACCACGUUGGCCACGUGCGCCACCUGGAUGGAUAGGUUGGCCCUAUCCGUAUAACGGAGCUCCAUAAAUUAUCUCCCAAAUACAGAAUGCUUUAAAAAAUAAGUUCACAUACUGUAAACACUUUUGCAUUUGAAGUUUAGUGCUCGUGUCUUGAAUAUAUUUUCAACUAUCAUUCCCAACCAUUAUGCAUAUUGGGAGUACUUGCAUAGUUUCUGGAUAAAACUAAAAUCUGUGUUCCGGUGGCUUUAAAGGAUUUAUUUGUGCCACAAUCAGUUCGUUGUUAAAUUUAGAAUAGAUUUAGGGAUAGUGGCAGCAAUUAUUGUGUUACUAAAGUUGACAUACUCUCCUAUUUUUGUUUUCUCUUCACGGGUGGUCCAGUUAUGCCCAUAUAGGUGUCUUCAGUUUUAAGACAUACCAAUUUGUAUGAUUGCAAUAGUGUUGACAAUGAAAGUCACUUUUAUUGGCUUUGGGGAUUAUUUUUUUUAUUUUUUUUGCAUUAAAUAGCUAAAUAUUAAAAAAUUUCGUGAAUUUUUUCAUUGGCCGCCAAGUACACAGAAGAUACAGCCAAUCCUUCUC